GUUGGGGGCUAUCCAGAAAUAAGAGCUGUUGAACAUAUGCCUUUAGACAGAACACAAGAAUUGGAUUAUUCCAUGUUUCCAGAGAAAGGACUUUAGCUGCCCAAACGCAUCGCUAGAGUUCCUUACUUGAAAACGAGUCACAGAAAACUAUGCUUUAAGAGCAGCUGGUGAAGAAACUGGUUAGUAAGUACCCUUAAAGAUGCUGUGGUAAGGACAGCAUUUGGUAGAGAGAUGUACAAUGGUUAAGAUCAUGUGUCCAGUCUUAUUAAUCAUAAAUAAAGGUAAAAGAGCCCUUAAAUGAGAUCUGUGGGGAAACUCAACACAAGAAGCAGAUGCUUAACUUCUAUGGGCACUUCUGGAAGCAUCCAUUUCAUGAGACAUCUCAUGGCCAAUGUCUCUGCGUUACAUAUGCAACAGUGUUUCUAGGUGCCAACACCUUGGGCCAGCAUAUGGGAUAUGAAGGUGAAUAAAACAGAGCAUCCACUGUUGCUUUGUUUCCCAUUGGAAGGACUAAAAUAUUUUGGUAAAAUGUGAUGGCUGCCAAAAUAGUAAAAUGCCCACUGUGGGAUGUGACAUAUAGCAUGUUAUACAGAAUAAAUUAAAAUACCUGGUCAAAGUGAUUUCCUGAUUACGUUUUUUCAGACUCUUCAGUCAGUGGUUUCCACCUGAAUUGGGAAGAUAUUUCUGUUUUUUUGUCCAUAAGCAUCAGCUCAGUGCCUAUGGCUAAUGUUCAGAGUUAACCCAUUUUUAUUAUAAUGCCUGUGGUUUUUGUAUUUGUUGUCGUUACUUAAUAUCCGAGCUCAUCUUCCCAUUUAAUGUCUUUUCUUUCAAGCAUAAAAUUUCCCCGCCUAUGCUGAAAUAGCAUUUUAAAGAAAAAGGGUUCCCAUAUGAGUGUGUAUUUUUAGGGCUAAAAGCAAAGAUCCUGUUAAGGUGAAUGCAAAAACUCCACUCUCUAAGUUAGCCUUGGGGCUGGUUAAGACCCAGAAGGUGGCAGGUAGAAGGAAGUGCUCAGGCCGGUUUGGGAAAUCAAUGGGAAAGUGUAAAAGUGGAAUUUCUUAAUAAUACCCCAUCCUGAAAACUAG
rnacentral:lncRNA from 1 species